rnacentral:rRNA from 1 species
UACGGAGGGUGCAAGCGUUAUCCGGAUUCACUGGGUUUAAAGGGUGCGUAGGUGGGCAAGUAAGUCAGUGGUGAAAUCUCCGGGCUUAACCCGGAAACUGCCAUUGAUACUAUUUGUCUUGAAUACUGUGGAGGUCAGCGGAAUAUGUCAUGUAGCGGUGAAAUGCUUAGAUAUGACAUAGAACACCAAUUGCGAAGGCAGCUGGCUACACAAAUAUUGACACUGAGGCUCGAAAGCGUGGGGAUCAAACAGG